rnacentral:rRNA from 1 species
AGAUUGAACGCUGGCGGCGUGCCUAACACAUGCAAGUCGAGCGGUAACAGGUGUAGCAAUACAUGCUGACGAGCGGCGGACGGGUGAGUAACGCUUGGGAAUCUGCCUAUCAGUGGGGAACAACCCGGGGAAACUCGGGCUAAUACCGCAUACGAUCCAUGGAUGAAAGCCGGGGACCGCAAGGCCUGGCGCUGAUAGAUGAGCCCAAGUCGGAUUAGCUAGUUGGUAGGGUAACGGCCUACCAAGGCGUACGAUCCGUAACUGGUCUGAGAGGACGACCAGUCACACCGGAACUGAGACACGGUCCGGACUCCUACGGGAGGCAGCAGUGGGAAUAUUGGACAAUGGGGGCAACCUGAUCCAGCGACGCCGCGUGGUGAAGAAGGCCCUGACGGGUUGUAAAGGCCCUUUACGGUGGGAAGAAAAAGGUUUCGGACGUUUAAUACGUCGUGAGACCUUUGGACGUAACCCAUAAACGAAGCCGAACCGGACGUAAC